CUUGCAUCAUGAUUUACAUUUGAGUGAGUGGCGAACUGGUGAGUAACACGUGGGAAACCUGCCCAGAAGCGGGGGAUAACACCUGGAAACAGAUGCUAAUACCGCAUAACAACUUGGACCGCAUGGUCCGAGUUUGAAAGAUGGCUUCGGCUAUCACUUUUGGAUGGUCCCGCGGCGUAUUAGCUAGAUGGUGAGGUAACGGCUCACCAUGGCAAUGAUACGUAGCCGACCUGAGAGGGUAAUCGGCCACAUUGGGACUGAGACACGGCCCAAACUCCUACGGGAGGCAGCAGUAGGGAAUCUUCCACAAUGGACGAAAGUCUGAUGGAGCAACGCCGCGUGAGUGAAGAAGGGUUUCGGCUCGUAAAACUCUGUUGUUAAAGAAGAACAUAUCUGAGAGUAACUGUUCAGGUAUUGACGGUAUUUAACCAGAAAGCCACGGCUAACUACGUGCCAGCAGCCGCGGUAAUACGUAGGUGGCAAGCGUUGUCCGGAUUUAUUGGGCGUAAAGCGAGCGCAGGCGGUUUUUUAAGUCUGAUGUGAAAGCCUUCGGCUCAACCGAAGAAGUGCAUCGGAAACUGGGAAACUUGAGUGCAGAAGAGGACAGUGGAACUCCAUGUGUAGCGGUGAAAUGCGUAGAUAUAUGGAAGAACACCAGUGGCGAAGGCGGCUGUCUGGUCUGUAACUGACGCUGAGGCUCGAAAGUAUGGGUAGCAAACAGGAUUAGAUACCCUGGUAGUCCAUACCGUAAACGAUGAAUGCUAAGUGUUGGAGGGUUUCCGCCCUUCAGUGCUGCAGCUAACGCAUUAAGCAUUCCGCCUGGGGAGUACGGCCGCAAGGCUGAAACUCAAAGGAAUUGACGGGGGCCCGCACAAGCGGUGGAGCAUGUGGUUUAAUUCGAAGCUACGCGAAGAACCUUACCAGGUCUUGACAUACUAUGCAAAUCUAAGAGAUUAGACGUUCCCUUCGGGGACAUGGAUACAGGUGGUGCAUGGUUGUCGUCAGCUCGUGUCGUGAGAUGUUGGGUUAAGUCCCGCAACGAGCGCAACCCUUAUUAUCAGUUGCCAGCAUUAAGUUGGGCACUCUGGUGAGACUGCCGGUGACAAACCGGAGGAAGGUGGGGAUGACGUCAAAUCAUCAUGCCCCUUAUGACCUGGGCUACACACGUGCUACAAUGGAUGGUACAACGAGUUGCGAACUCGCGAGAGUAAGCUAAUCUCUUAAAGCCAUUCUCAGUUCGGAUUGUAGGCUGCAACUCGCCUACAUGAAGUCGGAAUCGCUAGUAAUCGCGGAUCAGCAUGCCGCGGUGAAUACGUUCCCGGGCCUUGU
rnacentral:rRNA from 2 species